AAACCAACCGGGAUUGCCCUAGUAACGGCGAGUGAAGCGGCAAGAGCUCAAAUUUGAAAGCUGGCCCCCUCGGGGUCCGCAUUGUAAUUUGCAGAGGAUGCUUCGGGAACGGCCCCCAUCUAAGUGCCCUGGAACGGGCCGUCAUAGAGGGUGAGAAUCCCGUCUGGGAUGGGGUGGCCGCGCCCGUGUGAAGCUCCUUCGACGAGUCGAGUUGUUUGGGAAUGCAGCUCUAAUUGGGUGGUAAAUUUCAUCUAAAGCUAAAUAUUGGCCGGAGACCGAUAGCGCACAAGUAGAGUGAUCGAAAGAUGAAAAGCACUUUGAAAAGAGAGUUAAACAGCACGUGAAAUUGUUGAAAGGGAAGCGCUUGCGACCAGACUCGCCCGCGGGGUUCAGCCGGCACUCGUGCCGGUGUACUUCCCCGCGGGCGGGCCAGCGUCGGUUUGGGCGGCCGGUCAAAGGCCUCUGGAAGGUAACGCCUCUCGGGGCGUCUUAUAGCCAGGGGUGCCAUGCGGCCUGCCCGGACCGAGGAACGCGCUUCGGCUCGGACGCUGGCAUAAUGGUCGUAAGCGAC
rnacentral:rRNA from 1 species